CUGCAGGAGUCUGAAUCUUCUUCGAACACAAGAGUUAUGGAUCCUAAAAACAACGCUCCAAUCGUUUUUAAAGUUGAUUGAUGACUAUCAUCCUAUAUUUUUGGAAAUACCGUAUAAUGAGCGACCUUAUUGUGGGAAAGAAAAGUUCCAUAUGGCCAAUGUCUUG